rnacentral:rRNA from 1 species
ACUCAAAUGAAUAGACGGGGGCCCGCACAAGCGGUGGAGCAUGUGGUUCAAUUCGACGCAACGCGAAGAACCUUACCUGGGCUCGAACGGCUAUGGAUCGAGGGUGGAAACAUCCUUUUCCCGCAAGGGACCGUAGUCGAGGUGCUGCAUGGCUGUCGUCAGCUCGUGUCGUGAGAUGUUGGGUUAAGUCCCGCAACGAGCGCAACCCUUGUCCUGUGUUGCCACUUCGCAAGAAAGCACUCUCAGGAGACCGCCAGCGAUAAGUUGGAGGAAGGUGGGGAUGAUGUCAAGUCAUCAUGGCCUUUAUGUCCAGGGCUACACACGUGCUACAAUGGCCGGUACAAUGCGCUGCAAACCCGCGAGGGGGAGCUAAUCGCAAAAAACCGGUCUCAGUUCGGAUCGCAGGCUGCAACUCGCCUGCGUGAAGCUGGAAUCGCUAGUAAUGGCACAUCAGAACGGUGCCGUGAAUACGUUCCCGGGCCUUGCACACACCGCCCGU